rnacentral:rRNA from 1 species
GAUGAACGCUGACAGAGUGCUUAACACAUGCAAGUCAACUUGAAUUUGGGUUUUUAACUUAGAUUUGGGUGGCGGACGGGUGAGUAACGCGUAAAGAACUUGCCUCACAGCUAGGGACAACAUUUAGAAAUGAAUGCUAAUACCUGAUAUUAUGAUUUUAAGGCAUCUUAGAAUUAUGAAAGCUAUAAGCACUGUGAGAGAGCUUUGCGUCCCAUUAGCUAGUUGGAGAGGUAACAGCUCACCAAGGCGAUGAUGGGUAGCCGGCCUGAGAGGGUGAACGGCCACAAGGGGACUGAGACACGGCCCUUACUCCUACGGGAGGCAGCAGUGGGGAAUAUUGGACAAUGGACCGAGAGUCUGAUCCAGCAAUUCUGUGUGCACGAUGAAGUUUUUCGGAAUGUAAAGUGCUUUCAGUUGGGAAGAAAUAAAUGACGGUACCAACAGAAGAAGUGACGGCUAAAUACGUGCCAGCAGCCGCGGUAAUACGUAUGUCACGAGCGUUAUCCGGAUUUAUUGGGCGUAAAGCGCGUCUAGGUGGUUAUGUAAGUCUGAUGUGAAAAUGCAGGGCUCAACUCUGUAUUGCGUUGGAAACUGUAUAACUAGAGUACUGGAGAGGUAAGCGGAACUACAAGUGUAGAGGUGAAAUUCGUAGAUAUUUGUAGGAAUGCCGAUGGGGAAGCCAGCUUACUGGACAGAUACUGACGCUAAAGCGCGAAAGCGUGGGUAGCAAACAGG